rnacentral:rRNA from 1 species
UAGUCCACGCCGUAAACGAUGAUUACUAAGUGUUCGGUCUUCGGAUUGAGUGCUCAAGCGAAAGCGAUAAGUAAUCCACCUGGGGAGUACGUCGGCAACGAUGAAACUCAAAGGAAUUGACGGGGGCCCGCACAAGCGGUGGAGCAUGUGGUUUAAUUCGAUGAUACGCGAGGAACCUUACCUAGGCUCGAACACUUUUUGACACUCCCUGAAAGGGGAGCUCUCUUCGGAGCAAUUAGUGAGGUGCUGCAUGGUUGUCGUCAGCUCGUGCCGUGAGGUGUUGGGUUAAGUCCCGCAACGAGCGCAACCCUUGUCUUUAGUUGCCAUCAUUUAGUUGGGCACUCUAGAGAAACUGCCGGUGACAAACCGGAGGAAGGUAAGGAUGACGUCAAGUCAGCAUGCCCCUUAGCUCUGGGCUACACACGUGCUACAAUGGUCGUGACAAAGAGUUGCUAGUCUGCGAAGGCAAGCCAAUCUCAUAAACGCGGCCUUAGUUCGGAUUGCAGG